rnacentral:rRNA from 1 species
GGACCGCCGCUGCUAAAGCGGAGGAAGGAAUGGGCAACGGUAGGUCAGUAUGCCCCGAAUAUCCCGGGCUACACGCGAGCUACAAUGGUUGGUACAAUGGGUAUCUACCCCGAAAGGGGACGGGAAUCUCCUAAAACCAAUCUUAGUUCGGAUUGGGGGCUGCAACUCGCCCUCAUGAAGCUGGAAUCCGUAGUAAUCGCGUUUCAACAGAACGCGGUGAAUACGUCCCUGCUCCUU